rnacentral:tRNA from 1 species
GUCUCCAUAGCUCAGCCGGAUAGAGCACAGGUUUCCUAAACCUGGGGUCGCAGGUUCGAGUCCUGCUGGAGACG